rnacentral:rRNA from 1 species
GAUGAACGCUAGCUACAGGCUUAACACAUGCAAGUCGAGGGGAAACGAUAGAGAAAGCUUGCUUUUUCUAGGCGUCGACCGGCGCACGGGUGAGUAACGCGUAUCCAACCUGCCCAUCACUUGGGGAUAACCUUGCGAAAGUAAGACUAAUACCCAAUGACGUCUCUAGAAGACAUCUGAAAGAGAUUAAAGAUUUAUCGGUGAUGGAUGGGGAUGCGUCUGAUUAGCUUGUUGGCGGGGUAACAGCCCACCAAGGCGACGAUCAGUAGGGGUUCUGGGAGGAAGGUCCCCCACAUUGGAACUGAGACACGGUCCAAACUCCUACUGGAGGCAGCAGUGAGGAAUAUUGGUCAAUGGGCGAGAGCCUGAACCAGCCAAGUAGCGUGCAGGAUGACGGCCCUAUGGGUUGUAAACUGCUUUUAUAAGGGAAUAAAGUGAGUCUCGUGAGACUUUUUGCAUGUACCUUAUGAAUAAGGACCGGCUAAUUCCGUGCCAGCCGCCGCCGUAA